rnacentral:misc_RNA from 1 species
UGGUUCUGGCAUCGAUGAAGAACGCAGCGAAAUGCGAUAAGUAAUGUGAAUUGCAGAAUUUAGUGAAUCAUCGAAUCUUUGAACGCACAUUGCGCCUCUUGGUAUUCCUUGAGGCAUGCCUGUUCGAGCGCCGUUUGGCUAUCCUAAAGCUUUGCUUUGUGAUGAGUCUCGUCAUGUUUUGACGGACUUCAAAUAACUUUGCCUAAGCUGGCUUGCGUGAAGCAGUGAAAGUGCUAAACGUUGGUCUCCAGCAAGGGCAGGCCAAACGAUCGCAUGGCCUCGAAUCAGGUAGGGCUACCCGCUGA